AUGUGGAAGAAAAAUUCUGCAAAAUAUUACAGAAAAAAAAAGCAAGAGCAAGCACUUCUAGAUCUAUCCCCAGCAUCUUCAUUUUCUGAGACAGAAAAUUCCUUUGGAAAUGAAGAAAAUAACAGACAGGAACAAGACACAAAUAAUGAAAGUCUGAACAGAACACCAGCAAAAGAAAGUUUAGACCUGAAAGGGCCAAUUGAGGCAUCAACCCCACAGAGAACACGGCCAGUCAUUAAAAAAAGAGAGCGGGCAUCAAGGACUGUGGCCAAAUUAAGAGCAAAACUAAGGUAUGUUGAAGAGAAACUUAGGGCAAAGAAAACACAACUGCUGACACUAAACAGAAAAAUUAGAAGGCUGGCGGCUAAUAGAACAAAAAGUGCAAUGCUACCAGCAAAUAUUUCACAGAGGGUCAGUAUCAGAGAGGCUAAAAAGGGACUGAUGAUCAAUAGCAGGCGCAAACAACUUGACAAGAUUGUGAGCAUGUUCCUACAUCGGGAUGAUGUCUCAACUAUCAUAAAUGGCAAGUCUGGAGAGAUUCGUCGCAAGGGACAAAUUUAUAGAAAAAGAGCACUCACAGACACCAUGGCAAAACUCCAUCAACGCUUCCUUGUUGAACAUCCUGAGCAAACAGUGUCCAAAGCUCAGUUCUUUAGAUUGAGGCCAUUUUGGAUUAUUAGGCCUAAAGUUAAAGACAGAGAGACGUGUGCAUGUAAAAUGCACGAGAACAUUGGCUUUAAAUUAAAAAGAAUGCAACAACUGGGUAUCAUUGAAACAUCAAGCCCAGAGGAUCUUGUGCAGUCCAGUGUGUGUGACACUGGCAACAUGUCCUGCAUGUACGGCAGAUGUCAAAAAUGCAUUGAAAAGACCUUUCCCACAUCCUUAGAUCCUCUCACUCAGGGGAACACGGUCAUCUGGCAAGAGUGGGUCACAAGGUCUGUCACUGUAACAAAGACCCUCAAGGAUGGAUCUACAGAAGAAAGGCAGACAAAGAAAACGGUCCUCGAAAAACGUACCUCAUCCAUUGAGCGGUUGCUGGCCCUAACAACAGAACACCUUCCAGGUUUUGCCAUUCACAUGUUUAAUGUCAAGAACCAAUAUUUGUCAUUGAAAGCAAUGAAAGAUACCCUGACAGAUGAUGCUGUUGCUGUGCAUGUAGAUUACAGCGAAAAUUACAGCUGCAAAUAUGCCAAAGAAAUCAAGGACACCCAUUUUGGAACUGGGAAUGAUCAGGUAACCCUCCACACCGGGGUACUCUAUCUCAGUAGGGGCAGAGUGGAAGCCUUUGCAUCCCUCUCAUCAUCUCUACAGCACGAUGCAGUGGCAACCUGGGCUCAUCUUGACCCAGUGCUGAGAUACAUACGAGGAAAGUAUCCUGAAGUCCACAACCUACAUUUCAUUUCAGAUGGCCCAACUUCCCAGUAUAGAAACAAAACAUCUUUCUAUCUAGCCUCCACUGUGCCCUUUAUGCAUGGAUUUGAAUGGGUGACCUGGAACUAUACUGAGGCAUCACAUGGCAAAGGUGCACCAGAUGGAGUUGGUGGGGCCUUGAAGAAUCUUGCGGACAGAAUUGUUUCUUAUGGGACCAGUAUUCCUGAUGCAGACUCUCUGUAUGAGCAGCUGAAGAACAAUUCAUCAGUGACUCUGUACAAAGUAUCAGAGGAGAAAAUAAAGGCCAGCCGCGAAUUGGUUCCCCCCAACCUGAAAGCAGUUCCUGGGACACUGAAAAUACACCAACUGACAUCCACAAAACCAGGAGUCAUAAAUACACGGGAGGUGUCAUGCUUUUGUGGAAAAAAUUGCCAGUGCUUUUCUACAAAUUGCCACAUGUUCUCUGAGGAAAGAGAUGAGGACCCUGACAGAACAGAGGCCACCAUAGAGGUUGGACAGUGGGUCCUGGUUGAAUACGAUGGUGACUUGUUCCCUGGUACAGUCACACAGGUGAAUUUAAUUUCAAAAUUUCUGUUAAUGUGUGAAUAUUUCUCAGUUACAUUACAUUAUAGUACAUGCUGUCCUGCCAAAAUUUGUAGAGGCUAUAUAAAUGUUUUUAAAACAGAUUGCUGAAGGGCAGUAUGAAGUCGACACCAUGAAUUGUGCAGGGGAGAACCGCUUCUAUGUACCAAGCAUCAGAUUUCCAGGAGAAAGGGUCUGGUACUAUCGUCAGGACAUACGGGACAUAAUCCCAGAACCACUUCCUGUCACCUCCUCUGCUAGACAUUUCUGCAUUUUACCUGACAUAUGGGCAAAACACAAGAAAUGCUCAUGAAUGAGUUACAGUUUAGGGAAAAGGUGAUUGGUACAGAGCAGUCAUUCCAGUUGUUUGUUCUAGUUGUUUGACCAACUCAAAUCGAGUUGCUGCUAUUCAAGUUCUUCACAUUAAAUUAUUCUCAGAAAAAGUUUGUGUGGUUCAAUGUCAGGACCAAAUUGUUUUAGCUAAACUAAAUUCUUUUUACAAGAGCACAUGAUGCUGUUAAAUUUAAAUGUUUCUCAGGACCACAUGAUGAUAUGUUACAUUGAAAUAGUUCUCAUCACAGGGUUGUAUGUUUAACUAGAAUGAUAAAAUGUAUACUAAUGGUUGUAUAAUUGUUAGUACUACAGUGUAGGCUACAUGACAUGAUUCUUAAGAAGAGCACAAGAUUGUAACUUGUUAACACAAGUCAUGGUAUUGUGAUGAUUACAAUAAAUGAGAAAAUGAAACACUGUUUAUGAAAUAAAUGUUCUUUUAAAAAUUGUAUGAGUUUUAAAUAUGUAAUAUAGGGUUAGGCAUCAAACCCCUUUGUCAACAGUCAAUGUUUGAGCUAAAUAUCAUUUCCGAAACAUUGAUCCUCAUUACCGAAAUGACAUUUUCAUUACCGCAACAUGUAUAUUUUUUACAAAUUAAGCAAUAAUUAGAUCAUCAUAAUUUGUUUUAAAAUGCAUAUACAUAUUAUACAACACUGCUUAUUUAAAGUCUGCUACAUGACAAAUGUGUAUGGUAUCUUUUAGUAAAAUAAUUAAAUAAAAGAAAUUGUAAGUCAUCGCGCAUGUUUCGGUAAUGAGAGAAAAUAAGGAAAUUACAAAAAAUAAUAAAUAUGAAAAAGUAAUAUUUCCAGAGUUUAACAUAGCUUUGAGCAUGAGUAAUAAGGGUCUACUUUAACAUUAGCCAAAAAUACACAUUUUUAACCAUAUAUUUAAUGUAAUGUCAUGUUGCGGUAAUGAUAAUUUUUUAUGGACUUCAUCUAAAAAAUAAAAAAAUUAUAUAGGAAAUAUUUUUUUAAAUCUUCUAAAAAUAAUGGUUAUAGUAAGUUCAGACCUCAAUCUUAUAUGUGCAAAAAGAAAAUUGGCUUCAAGGGCAUUUUAAAAAUUCUGAUGCUAGACACCUGCUAUAUCUGGAUUUCAUGAGAAUCACCCGUGUGUUUCAGGGUUUAUUAAACAUUUCAGUUCCAAUAAUGGCCACAGAUCUGCGAUUAGAACGGUAAAAGCUUUUAAUGUAGUCAGCUGUUGUAUUGAGUCACGUCAUCAUCCUACACUGAUCAAAGCAUAUAUACCCCUCUGUAUUAGCAUAAAAAAAACAUAUGUUCAUGUGAACUGCAUCCUUGAAAUAUAUGGCACCGUAUUAAGCAGUAUAGAGUAUCUGUGCUCACGAAAUGUUCUGAAAAGUAUGCGAAUUUGACAAUUCUGCAUUUUAUUUACUUCAUGGUGAUAAGUAUGUGAUAUAGACAUGUCUGUUUCUCCCCAUGAACUGAUUUUGGACAGGCUUCUGAAGCAGAGUAAUGGUCUAUAGCUGAUCUACAGCUAAAUAUAGAAGCGUUGGUUAUAACCAUUGGAUAUUCCAUACUACGUACAUUUAAUAAUAAUAAAAUAUGACACUGACCGCAAGGGAAAGAGGAGAACGAGGAGGAUGAUGAGAAGAAUGAGGAGGAGGAUGAGAAGGAGAAUAAAAAUGAAGAGGAGGAUGAAAAGAAGGAUGAGGAUAAUAAGAAUGAGGAAGAGGCUGAGAAGGGUAUGGAGAUGGAAAAUGAGGAGGAGGAUAAGAAGGAUGAGGAUGAGAAGGAUGAGGAGGAGGAUGAAAAGAAUGAUAAGGAUGAGAAGAAGUAAAUGGAGAAGGAGAUUGAGGAUGAGGAGAGGGAGGAAGAACUUAAAUGGAGAUGCAGAAGGUAAAGUUGAUUGAAAAAAACCCAUAAGGAACCAUGCAGCCAAAGAUAAAUUGUUUUCAAUAAACUCAAGUAAACUUGCCAAAGUGGUCCCUGUCUGUAAUAUAUAUAUUGUUAUAGUUUAACAAAAUUAUUAAGCACCCACUGAGAAACCUGAUGAAAGUGUGACCUCAGACCUUGUCUGAGUUCUCCUUGCCUUGUCAGAGGAGAACUGGCCCCCCAACUGAGCCUGGUUUCUCCCAAUAUUUUUCUCUAUUCUGUCACCAAUGGAGUUUUGGUUCCUUGCCGCUGUUGCUUCUGGCUUGCUUAGUUGGGGUCACUUCAUUUACAGUGAAAUUAUUGACUUGAUUGCAAAUUGCAAAAAAGACACUAUUUAAACUAACUUGAGAUGACAUCACUGAAUUCAAUGAUGAAUGCCUUCAACUGUUAUUUUGCAUUAUUGAAACACUGUUUUCCUAAUUAAUGUUGUUCAGUUGCUUUGAUGCAAUGUAUUUUGUAUAUAUAAAUAAAGGUGACUUGACUUGACUUACGGUACAGGUGCUGAGAGCAGUCAAAUGCAUUUAAAGAAGCUGUCAUACACACA
rnacentral:lncRNA from 1 species